UACGUAGGGUGCGAGCGUUGUCCGGAAUUAUUGGGCGUAAAGAGCUUGUAGGCGGUUUGUCGCGUCUGCUGUGAAAUCUCAAGGCUCAACCUUGAGCUUGCAGUGGGUACGGGCAGACUAGAGUGUGGUAGGGGAGACUGGAAUUCCUGGUGUAGCGGUGAAAUGCGCAGAUAUCAGGAGGAACACCGAUGGCGAAGGCGGCAUCCUGGACCGGCAUUGACGCUGAGGCGCGAAAGCCAGGGGAGCAAACGGG
rnacentral:rRNA from 1 species